AUUUUCUGAGAGACAUCCUUGACAUGCUCGCGGACGCUCUCUCCAGCAGCAUGAUUUCAUUGCCUUGUGCGGACGCACGGUGCGAGAAAAUGAGAAGACACCUGCUCGGCGAUUCGGAGCUGGCUGUCAAAAAACGGGAAAGAAAGUGCGGUGGAAGGAGAAGAGAAAAAAAAGAGAAAAGAAAAAAACCCAGGCAGCCCCGAGAUAUAUCUAUUCUGGCUCCCUGCUUCCCUCAAGCUGCCGCGCGCACAGAAAGGGCAUCUCAUCCUCUCCAGUGGAGCUCCCAUUGAAUGCUGCCUUUUCUCUCUUUCUGUGUGUCUCUCGCUGGAACACUGCCAGAGCUCUCUGUCUCAGUGAGGUAUCUGCCAGUCACUCAGAAGUCCAUUCUUCACUAAAACAUGAUGUCUAUCUCCUGGGUCCUGUCUGUGAAACAGUGCAGGUCUUGGUACCUUUGUCAGAAGCGAUUAUGAUCUGUGUAAGCUGACGGAAU